rnacentral:rRNA from 1 species
CUAGAGUGCAGUAGGGGAGACUGGAAUUCCUGGUGUAGCGGUGGAAUGCGCAGAUAUCAGGAGGAACACCGAUGGCGAAGGCAGGUCUCUGGGCUGUAACUGACGCUGAGGAGCGAAAGCAUGGGGAGCGAACAGGAUUAGAUACCCUGGUAGUCCAUGCCGUAAACGUUGGGCACUAGGUGUGGGGACCAUUCCACGGUUUCCGCGCCGCAGCUAACGCAUUAAGUGCCCCGCCUGGGGAGUACGGCCGCAAGGCUAAAACUCAAAGGAAUUGCCGGGGGCCCGCACAAGCGGCGGAGCAUGCGGAUUAAUUCGAUGCAACGCGAAGAACCUUACCAAGGCUUGACAUGUUCUCGAUCGCCGUAGAGAUACGGUUUCCCCUUUGGGGCGGGUUCACAGGUGGUGCAUGGUUGUCGUCAGCUCGUGUCGUGAGAUGUUGGGUUAAGUCCCGCAACGAGCGCAACCCUCGUUCUAUGUUGCCAGCACGUCGUGGUGGGGACUCAUGGGAGACUGCCGGGGUCAACUCGGAGGAAGGUGAGGACGACGUCAAAUCAUCAUGCCCCUUAUGUCUUGGGCUUCACGCAUGCUACAAUGGCCGGUACAAUGGGUUGCGAUACUGUGAGGUGGAGCUAAUCCCAAAAAGCCGGUCUCAGUUCGGAUUGGGGUCUGCAACUCGACCCCAUGAAGUCGGAGUCGCUAGUAAUCGCAGAUCAGSAACGCUGCGGUGAA